rnacentral:tRNA from 1 species
GGACAGAUAGCUCAGCCGGUAGAGCACAGCACUGAAAAUGCUGGGGUCGUGGGUUCAAAUCCCACUCUGUCCA